GGGCUCCCCGCAGGGAGCAGCUUCGGCCGGGAAGAAUGCAUCAGAAGCUGCUGAAGAGCGCGCACUACAUCGAGCUGGGCAGCUAUCAGUACUGGCCGGUCCUGGUACCCCGCGGCAUUCGCCUCUACACCUACGAGCAGAUCCCUGUGUCCCUCAAGGACAACCCGUACAUCACCGACGGCUACCGGGCCUACCUGCCCUCCAGGCUCUGCAUCAAAAGUUUGUUUAUUUUAUCUAAUGAGACGGUAAACAUCUGGAGUCAUUUGCUGGGUUUCUUUCUCUUCUUCACCCUGGGAAUAUAUGACAUGACAUCUGUAUUACCUUCGGCAAGUGCAUCCAGAGAAGAUUUUGUAAUUUGUUCUAUUUGUCUCUUCUGCUUCCAGUAUUGGCGGCAGGUGUACUUGAUCACAGUGCUUGCUAUGAUCCUCGCAGUGUUCUUUGCACAGAUUCAUCCCAGUUACCUCACACAGCAAUGGCAGAGGCUCCGUUCUAUCAUCUUUUGUUCUGUUUCGGGCUAUGGAGUGAUCCCUACUCUUCACUGGGUUUGGCUCAAUGGAGGAAUCGGUGCUCCUAUUGUACAGGACUUCGCACCCCGUGUAAUUGUGAUGUACGUGAUUGCUCUUCUUGCUUUCCUGUUCUAUAUUUCCAAAGUUCCAGAACGGUACUUUCCAGGACAACUAAACUACCUCGGGUCAAGCCACCAAAUAUGGCACAUCCUUGCAGUAGUGAUGUUAUAUUGGUGGCAUCAGUCAACAGUGUAUGUCAUGCAGUACAGACAUAGCAAACCUUGUCCUGACUAUGUUUCACGUGUGUGAAUUCAGAAUCAGGAAUGAAGAAUCAGGGAUUAUCAGUCACAUCUUACGGCAUCCCUCCUGGACAGAGUAACCGAUUGGAAGAUUGUGAUUGGCUGGCAGAGAGGUGUACAGCUCUCCAUUCGGCAGUCUCAGUUACCUGGAAGGCUGAAGGAGGAGGACUGCUUGAAACCAGUAGCAAGACCAGCCUGGAUAAAAUAGUGAGACUGCAUCUCAAAAACAUGACAAGACUGAGGAUACAGCUCAGUGGUAGCACACUUGCCUAGCAUGUGCAAGAUCCUGGGUUAGAUUGCCAACACCAAAAAACAACAAAAAAGUAUUUUUUAAAGUAAUGAUAAACUCAAAAAGGACAAAAUAAAAACUAAUUCAUUACAAAGUUAAGAUUUAAAGUGUAGCUCAGUAAUAAAGCACUUGCUUAACAUGAGUAAGGCUCUGGGUUUGAUCCCCAAGAACACCAAAAGAGAAAAAAAAUGUAAUAAAGUUCUAACAGAAUUUUUUUUAAAUAUAAAGAACAGAAUUCCUAAUAAAAACAGUGUAAGGAACAAUACAUUCAGGAUAGUGGUUCUUAAAUACAUAUUAAUAGACUUGAACUUCCUAAAUUCUUUCCCUUCUGCCACAUGACUUUUUAUUCUCAAGUAACAUUCUCUGUAUGGUUUACUUAAAAUUAAAUUCUAUUUAGUAAUCAUUAACUCUCAAAUCCAAGUAAAAAGAUGGAUUUUCAUAUACGUAUAUUUUGCAUUGUGUAUGUACACACACAAUUAGGAGUCAUUUCUUGCGUUUCUUUGUCCUAGCCCUAGAAAUCUCCAAAAGCUUUUUAGUCUGAGAAUGUUAGGUAGAAUAUAUAUUUAUUGAAAAGAAUCCCCUUUUCUUUUUAAACCUCUCCCUAAGUUUAGGGGGAAAAUAAUUUUUUUUCAGUAGAUUCAAGUACCUUACUUUUAAAGGAAGAUGAAUGCCUCCAAUAUUUCAUUUAUACUUAAAAAUUAUAACAGUUUAUUUAAGCUUUGUAAUACAUAGGUCAGUGGUAAUAUAUCAUUUUACUUUUUUUACUUUAGUUACACUUUUUGAAUCUGAUAAGUAUCACAUUAAUAAUGCUAAUACAGUGAUUACUUUUUUCUCUGGAGGCACACUCCUACUAUGACCAUUCACUCUUUUAUGCUAUUUACUUAAUUUUUCAUAACUAAAUCAUCUGAAUGCCCAUGUUUACAUGAACAUGUCUAAUAAACUUUCUGGAGGGAGGACAUUUAUAUCAAAUGGUAUCUUUUGUGGAUAGUCAUAAUUUUUUCAUAUAUUCAAUGACUAUUAUUAGGUAGUGAUUGGGUUGGCUACUGGGCAGUACCAAAAGACAAUCAUGCUUCCAACCUAAUGGACUGCUACAUGUAUAUCAGUUAAACAACAUAUUUGAGCUCAAUCAAUAACCAUAUUGCUAACUUCAAAAUCUCUACGUCAACUUCAACUUCAAAUAAUGGUAUCCAGAGAAAAGACCAAUUGUUGAGAUUUACUCCAGUUCCUGAAUCUACUAGUCAUUUUCCCAGAGUAUUAUCAGGAGCUAUUAAAGAACAAGUCAUUGCAGAGGUCCGUGCCAACCUGAAAAGGAUAAUGCAAUUCCUCAUAGAAUAUGAGAAAAAGCUAGAAAAUGCUUUCUGCACACAAAUGAGUACCUGAAGUCAUUGGUUCUUGAAAAUUAACAGACUAUUUUGAGAUACUAUAAUUAAAGAAAAAAUAUCAGCUUUGUAACCUAGGAUAUUAGGGAUGUGGAGGAGCACAGUUAUGGAGAUUAAUUUUUUCCCACAUACUUCCCUUCACCAAGAUUAAAACUCAUGUUUUUCACUAGGACCACAAACACACAAAAAAUUCAUUUAUGCCAAAGUGAGAUUCUUUUCCAUCCUAGUAUCUUCCUAGUAUUAACAGUGUUAUUACUUUGAAAUUAUUACUAAAAAUAGUUUUAACUAGUGAAUAAUACCAACAUUUAAAUUCUGGAUUGAAAUCAAAGGCUGGGCUAUUAGAAGAAAAAAGUAGCUAAAACAAAGACUGUGACGCAAAAAACAAACAAACUGUAUUACUAUUUUUUAAAUGCAACUACAAGACGUAUAAACUAGGAAAAUAUCACAUUUUUAAGCAAGUACUAAGUAUAAAAAUAUCUUUAGAUAUAUUUUAAUUAUGAAGAAUGGAGAGGUUUUUUUCAUGUAUGGGUUUUUAAAAAAUAGUAUCCAAUAAUAAAGUUGAAAAUGAGUUAUGUUGCUAUUAUAUACAUAAAUAUUUGUAUAUGUUGGCAAAGGUACACCUGAAUAUCCCAAUGGGUCAAACAUUAGGAAGACAAGGGUCUAACCUUCCUAAAGGUUAAAUAUUAUUCUAUUCUAGCUCCAUAACUAACAGAUGAUUUUUACUCUCACUUUACAUUAAUAAAGUUUUAUUGUUGUGAAUAUUUUUUAA